rnacentral:rRNA from 1 species
AUUGAACGCUGGCGGCAUGCCUUACACAUGCAAGUCGAACGGUAACAGGUUAAGCUGACGAGUGGCGAACGGGUGAGGAAUACGUAGGAACCUGCCUUAUAGUGGGGGAUAACUAAGGGAAACUUUAGCUAAUACCGCAUAAUCUCGAGAGAGGAAAGCUGCCGCAAGGUGGCGCUAAAAGAGGGGCCUGCGUCCGAUUAGCUAGUUGGUGAGGUAAGAGCUCACCAAGGCGAUGAUCGGUAACUGGUCUGAGAGGACGACCAGUCACACUGGGACUGAGACACGGCCCAGACUCCUACGGGAGGCAGCAGUGGGGAAUAUUGGACAAUGGGGGCAACCCUGAUCCAGCGAUGCCGCGCGAGUGAAGAAGGCCUUCGGGUCGUAAAGCUCUUUAGGUUGGGAAGAAGGGUGUUAGAGGAAAUGCUAAUACUUUGACGGUACCGACAGAAUAAGCACCGGCAAACUCUGUGCCAGCAGCCGCAGUAACAC